rnacentral:misc_RNA from 1 species
GUGAAUCAUCAAAUCUUUGAACGCAAAUUGCACUCCCUGGUAUUCCGGGGAGUAUGCCUGUUUGAGGGUCGGUAUAAGAAAAAUCGAAGCAGCUCUCUUUUUUUUGAGGGUGAUCGCGUCGUAAUUGAGCCGUCUUUCUAAUGUUAAUUCAUGUCAAAGUUGCUUAAAAUUCAUCCAUCCUGUACGAUUAAAUCGUAUUUAAUAUCAAUUUUGAUUAAGAACGCGCGAUGACGUACCAUCUCAUGUAUUACGUUUGACCUGGGUCAUCAGGUUCAUUCGUAUACGAUACUCAAACUUUUUU